GAGGCUCAGCGCCUUCAUCUGUAAAAUGGAGUGAAUUGCAGUAUCUACCUGGCUCAAAGCUGGCAAGCAGGAGAUGUUGGCUUAAAGGUCCCAAGGGGAGACUGUGUGUCCUGGACAUUCAGGGCCUGGCAGGUCAUUGGGGCAUGAGAAGGUCUGCUGAUGGCUGAACUGAGAGCAUUCAGGGCUGGGCUCCCAGCCUCCUGAGAUGAGUUCUGUGACUGAUGCUCACAGAACUCUGUGCCACUCUGGACACCCUGGACACCCUGGGCUUUUUACCCCACUGAUCUCAAAUGGGCUCUUGCGAUUGGCAGCCCCCUGGUGAGAAGUCUGUUGCAGGCUGACUUCUCUAGAAGCAGACUCUGAGAAUCUGGGGGGUAAAAUGUCUAUUAGGGAUCAACACCUGUGAAGGGAAGUGGGAGGAAACAGAAUUGGGCAGAGGGAAGAGUCAAACCUAGACACAAGCCCGAGAAACCUCGCCAGCCUGACAGGAAGCUGUGGAGCAGACGCUGCCCAGCAGAGCAGCCUGGAAAGGCUAACGGACUCCACCCAGCCUCUCAGGUGCAGGAGACCUUGGGCCACAUGGCUCUGGAUAGGGCUGCUCCUUGCAGCAGAGGCGGGCCCAGAAGGAGCUGGCAGCUGGAGAUUAUGUGCUGACCACCUUCCCUACAAGUUAUUUCACGAAGGGAGAUCUGGUUGGUGCCUCUCCAUUUGGCUACAGAGAAUUUUUACUUAGCCUGUGUACCAAGUUUGAGUGUGGCAAGUAUGUCAAGAGUGAAGAGGAACUAAUUGCAUUCUGGCUCCCCCAAUUAAACGUUUACGCAGAGAAGAUGAGCCCAUAUGAAUGUGGCUUCGACCCUAUAGUAUCCGCCCACUUACCUUUUUCCAUAAAGUUCUUUUUGAUUGCUAUUACAUUUCUCCUAUUUGACCUAGAAAUCGCCCUCCUCUUACCCCUGCCCUGAGCAGCCCAAACAAAUCACUUACACACCGUACUAACUAUAGCACUUCUCCUUAUCUCAUUAUUAGCGAUUAGUCUCGCCUAUGAAUGAACCCAAAAAGGACUAGAAUGAACUGAAUAUGAUAAUUAGUUUAAAUAAAAUUAAUGAUUUCGACUCAUUAGAUUGUGAUUAAGUUCAUAAUUAUCAAAUGUCCAUAGUGUAUAUAUAUAUUAUCUUAGCAUUCACUGUGUG